AUCUCUAUGGCAGACACCACAAUCAGGCAGGUUGUUUUCCCAAUGUGAGGCUCACAGUUCGCACUCCGGGUGUGCUGACCCCUGCGAUUUCCCCAAAUGCAGGAAACUCGACUGCAUAAUUUGUGGUGGGUUUUUUUUGUUGUUGUU
rnacentral:snRNA from 14 species